UUUAGGGAUCUAAGUUUGCAUCAGCAGCAUUUGUUAGUGGUGGAUUAAUUGGUGUGAAAAAGGAUGUUAAAUGCGCAUUUAGGUCGUUCAUACCAUCAUCACCCAACUCAAGUCAUUUUUCUAGUGUCAUGGGACACUCUACUUUUGGCACCCGUGCUUGGAACAUUUUACAAAAUCGCUUUUCUUUUGCUGCUGCACUAAAUGUUUGUUUGUUUAGUUUCUAGCAGUAGGUUGCAGGGCUGUUGCUAGUUCCAAUCAUCUUAACCAAACAACAAACAAGUAGAUCUUCUCAUGACGCAGUCCAAAUUCCAGUUAACGUUCAAACGGUCUCUUUGUGUAGUUCAUACCCACUAAGAGCUAGAUGUUGUUGUUAUUCGUGUUCGUUGAUUUAGUUUUUAUGUACCAAUGUAUCAAGAGAGAAUUAUGAUUUGCAAGAAACAAUUUGAUACAGAGAACAUCUGAAUUGAACUACCAGGCUACAAGCCAAUAUCAAUGUAGUACUGUUAGAGUGAUAAAAUCAUUAGAUGAGGUAU